UCCGCCCAGACAGCUGAGAGCAGAGGAGCCGGAGCUGCAGCGGAGGAUUCAGACUGAACAUGAUCUGUGAGGGCCACACCUGAUCCUAGACCUGGUCCUACAUCUGAUCCUUCACCUGAUCCUAGACCUGGUCCUACAUCUGAUCCUUCACCUGAUCCUAGACCUGGUCCUACAUCUGAUCCUUCACCUGAUCCUAGACGUGGUCCUACAUCUGAUCCUUCACCUGAUCCUAGCCCUGGUCCUACAUCUGAUCCUUCACCUGAUCCUAGACGUGGUCCUCCAAGAACAUGAAUGAGAUCAAGAUCUGUGUCCUGGGUAGCGAGGGGGUCGGAAAGUCAGCUCUGGUCGUGCGUUUCCUCACCCGGAGAUUUAUUGGAGAAUAUUCUUCUUCUUCAGAGUGUAUCUACAGGAAGCGUGUGAGUGUGGACGGGAGGCAGGUGAACCUGGAGCUCUACGACCCCUGCUCUCAG